GGGUUGUAAACCGCUUCCAGCAGGGAAGAAGCCUUUAUGGUGACGGUACCUGCAGAAGAAGUACCGGCUAACUACGUGCCAGCAGCCGCGGUAAUACGUAGGGUACGAGCGUUGUCCGGAAUUAUUGGGCGUAAAGAGCUCGUAGGUGGUUGGUCACGUCUGCUGUGGAAACGCAACGCUUAACGUUGCGCGGGCAGUGGGUACGGGCUGACUAGAGUGCAGUAGGGGAGUCUGGAAUUCCUGGUGUAGCGGUGAAAUGCGCAGAUAUCAGGAGGAACACCGGUGGCGAAGGCGGGACUCUGGGCUGUAACUGACACUGAGGAGCGAAAGCAUGGGGAGCGAACAGGAUUAGAUACCCUGGUAGUCCAUGCCGUAAACGUUGGGCACUAGGUGUGGGGGACAUUCCACGUUCUCCGCGCCGUAGCUAACGCAUUAAGUGCCCCGCCUGGGGAGUACGGUCGCAAGGCUAAAACUCAAAGGAAUUGACGGGGGCCCGCACAAGCGGCGGAGCAUGCGGAUUAAUUCGAUGCAACGCGAAGAACCUUACCAAGGCUUGACAUACACCAGAUCGUUCUGGAAACAGUUCUUCCCCUUUUGGGGUUGGUGUACAGGUGGUGCAUGGUUGUCGUCAGCUCGUGUCGUGAGAUGUUGGGUUAAGUCCCGCAACGAGCGCAACCCUCGUUCUAUGUUGCCAGCACGUGAUGGUGGGAACUCAUAGGAGACUGCCGGGGUCAACUCGGAGGAAGGUGGGGAUGACGUCAAAUCAUCAUGCCCUUUAUGUCUUGGGCUUCACGCAUGCUACAAUGGCCGGUACAGAGAGAGGCGAGCCCGUGAGGGUGAGCGAAUCCCUUAAAGCCGGUCUCAGUUCGGAUCGUAGUCUGCAAUUCGACUACGUGAAGUCGGAGUCGCUAGUAAUCGCAGAUCAGCAA
rnacentral:rRNA from 1 species